rnacentral:rRNA from 1 species
UACGGGGGGGGCAAGCGUUGUUCGGAAUUACUGGGCGUAAAGCGUGCGCAGGCGGUUUUGUAAGCCAGAUGUGAAAUCCCCGGGCUUAACCUGGGAAUGGCAUUUGGGACUGCAAGGCUGGAGUGUGGCAGAGGAGACGUGGAAUUCCUGGUGUAGCAGUGAAAUGCGUAGAUAUCAGGAGGAAUACCGAUGGCGAAGGCAGGUCUCUGGGCUGACACUGACGCUCAUGCACGAAAGCGUGGGGAGCAAACAGG